rnacentral:snoRNA from 1 species
UGCAAGUGAUGCUUUUCUCACGAUGGUCUUCCAAGCCCGCAGGGUUCUGACGACAACGCCUUUUUUGGCAAAACUGAUGCAGUUAG